rnacentral:rRNA from 1 species
GCAUAUCAAUAAGCGGAGGAAAAGAAACCAACAGGGAUUGCCUCAGUAACGGCGAGUGAAGCGGCAACAGCUCAAAUUUGAAAUCUGGCCCCCCGGGUCCGAGUUGUAAUUUGCAGAGGAUGCUUUUGGCGCGGUGCCUUCCGAGUUCCCUGGAACGGGACGCCAUAGAGGGUGAGAGCCCCGUACGGUUGGACACCAAGCCUGUGUAAAGCUCCUUCGACGAGUCGAGUAGUUUGGGAAUGCUGCUCAAAAUGGGAGGUAUAUUUCUUCUAAAGCUAAAUACCGGCCAGAGACCGAUAGCGCACAAGUAGAGUGAUCGAAAGAUGAAAAGCACUUUGAAAAGAGGGUUAAACAGCACGUGAAAUUGUUAAAAGGGAAGCGCUUGUGACCAGACUUGCGCCCGGUGAAUCACCCAGCUCUCGCGGCUGGGGCACUUUGCCGGCUCAGGCCAGCAUCAGCUCGCCGUCGGGGACAAAAGCUUCGGGAACGUAGCUCUCUUCGGGGAGUGUUAUAGCCCGCUGCACAAUACCCUUCGGCGGGCUGAGGUACGCGCUCCGCACGGAUGCUGGCGUAAUGGUCAUCAGCGACCCGUCUUGAAACACGGACCAAGGAGUCAACCUUAUGUGC